CCCAAAGGUCGGCUCAGGUGGGACAGAAAUCCACCGUAGAGGGCAAGGCUAAAAGCCGGCCUGACUGGGUUCUCAAAAGCACAGAACCCAGGAGCGAAAGCUUGGCCUAGCGAUCCUCCAGGUCCCCACUGUUGGGGGCUGAAGGUGACAAAAAAGUUACCCCAGGGAUAACAGGCUUGUCGCGGGUGAGAGCUCAAAUCGACCCCGCGGAUUGGUACCUCGAUGUCGGCUCUUCCCAUCCUGGUCCUGCAGCAGGGGCCAAGGGUGGGGCUGCUCGCCCAUCAAAGGGGAACGUGAGCUGGGUUUAGACCGUCGUGAGACAGGUCGGCCUCUAUCUGAUAGAAGCGAUGGCCGUCUGAGGGGAAGCUGUCCUCAGUACGAGAGGAACAGGGCAGCGUGGCCUCUGGCGUACCGGUUGUCUGAUAAGGCAGUUGCCGGGCAGCUAAGCUAUUGAGGAUAAGAGCUGAAAGCAUCUAAGCUCGAAGCCUCUCCUGAGAAUAGACCGCCUUCCACAUUUCUACUUCUUUCGGGAAGUAGGUGUGGACGAGAGCUGGGAUAGAAGAUCCCGUUGAUGGGGCAGAGGUGUAAUCUGAAAGGCUUCGGCCGAUCAGUUCAGCCUGCUGCUUCCAAUCGCUCAAGGUGUCAGAAAU
rnacentral:rRNA from 1 species